UGUCCCCUAGCCCUUUCUCAAUCCAACAUUCCCCUUUUGCCUCUCCAUUUGCUACUCCAACCUUCUGCUCUUCCACACCUCUGACUGGAAGCCCAGGCAGGACACCCCCCUCAAGAAAUAAGAUGAGCUCCAAGGGGGCACCAGAGCUGAAGCUGGAAAAACCAAUCCCAGCACCAGAGAUGAAGCUGGAAAAACCAAUCCCAGCUGAUUUCGAGAAGAUGUGGUCAUAUACUGGGAACCUUAGUGCCAGAAAAGUUUCUGGAGACGCUCCAGAACGUGAUUGAGUUCAAGCUAAUCCAUGAAACUACCAAAGAAAAAG
rnacentral:lncRNA from 1 species